UACGUAGGGGGCGAGCGUUGUCCGGAAUUACUGGGCGUAAAGGGCGUGUAGGCGGUUAAAUAAGUCAGAUGUGAAAACUGCGGGCUCAACCCGGAGAGUGCAUCUGAAACUGUAUAACUUGAGGGUAAGAGAGGAAAGUGGAAUUCCUAGUGUAGCGGUGAAAUGCGUAGAUAUUAGGAGGAACACCAGUGGCGAAGGCGACUUUCUGGCUUAACCCUGACGCUGAGGCGCGAAAGCGUGGGGAGCAAAC
rnacentral:rRNA from 1 species